ACCCUGCAAACAAAUAGAUUGUCCCAAGGGCGCCAUAUUCUAGGAGCCCAAGUUAUGCUAUUGAAAAUUCGUUCCUCUAGCAGUUCCGGUUUGAGCAUUCCGUUCCCUUUUCUAACUCCACUUCUUUUCAUAUAGCAAUCCCUGAUCAAAGAGAGAACAAUAUCCAUUUCAAAACAUUUCUAACAGAUUCCUUAGUUCGGACCGACGAAGUAA
rnacentral:rRNA from 1 species